CCUACGGGAGGCAGCAGUGAGGAAUAUUGGUCAAUGGGCGCGAGCCUGAACCAGCCACGUAGCGUGAAGGAUGACUGCCCUACGGGUUGUAAACUUCUUUUAUCAAGGAAUACAGUGAGGCACGUGUGCCUUUUUGUAUUUACUUUAUGAAUAAGGAUCGGCUAACUCCGUUCCAGCAGCCGCGGUAAUAAGGAGGAUCCGAGCGUUAUCCGGAUUGAUUGGGUUUAAAGGGAGCGUAGAGGGGUUGUUAAGUCAGUUGUGAAAGUUUGCGGCUCAACCGUAAAAUUGAAAGUGAUACUGGCAGUCUUGAGUACAGUUGAGGUAGGCGGAAUUCGUGGUGUAGCGGUGAAAUGCUUAGAUAUCACGAAGAACGCCGAGUGCGAAGGCAGCUUACUAAACUGCCACUGACAUUGAGGCUCGAAAGUGUGGGUAUCAAACAGGAUUAGAUACCCGUGUAGUC
rnacentral:rRNA from 1 species